rnacentral:misc_RNA from 1 species
GAUUUGGAAAGGUAUUAAAGCCACACUUGAUGAUUAUGCUGUGAAGGUUAGAUCAAGGGGAGACAAGGAAUUUAGCCCUGUAUACCCCCUUAUGCUUCGGUUAGGAUCCUCUUUGACGGAGAAUGCUCCUGUGUCCCAAAAGCCUUAAAUUCCGGUACAUCUCUUGGAAGCCCCAAAACUUUAAACCCUUGUCUGAGGAUUUUCGCCUGUGUCAUACGUGUACAGGAG